rnacentral:rRNA from 1 species
UACGUAGGUCCCGAGCGUUGUCCGGAUUUAUUGGGCGUAAAGCGAGCGCAGGUGGUUUAUUAAGUCUGGUGUAAAAGGCAGUGGCUCAACCAUUGUAUGCAUUGGAAACUAGUAGACUUGAGUGCAGGAGAGGAGAGUGGAAUUCCAUGUGUAGCGGUGAAAUGCGUAGAUAUAUGGAGGAACACCGGUGGCGAAAGCGGCUCUCUGGCCUGUAACUGACACUGAGGCUCGAAAGCGUGGGGAGCAAACAGG